rnacentral:lncRNA from 1 species
CCAGAAGCCUUGGCACUGGAAGCCGUGUGUGUGAGUGUGUGUGUUUGUGUUUCUGUGUGUCUCUCAGUGUGUGUCUGUGUGGAGUAUGUGUCUGUGUGUAUGUGUCUGUGUGUGAGUGUGUGUCUGUGUCUGUGUGAGUGUGUGUGUCUGUGUGUGUAUCUGUGUGUGUCUCUGUGUUAGUAUGUGUCUCUGUGUGAGUGUGUGUGUCUCUCUGUGUGUGUGUCUUCCAUCGCUGCCACCCCGCUGUUCCUGUCUAGAGAUUCGGGCCUCCCAGGCCAGGAGGAGCAGAAGUCCCAGGACUGAUGCCACUCGAAGUUCAUUGGAUCCACACCAUUCAGUUAAGAGUGUCUGGAGAGGAGGUGAGGCAGAGGAGGUGGGCAGAGCAUGUCUGCAUCUGUGUUUCCCUGGGAAUAGUGAGUCAAACAGACACAGGAAUGUCCUUCGCACUGGGAGAGAUGGGAGGCCUCUCAUUGGGUAACCUUCCCUAUGUGCCUGUCGCCCCAUUUAAGGUAGUUGCUUUGAUCCUAGCCUUGUGUGUAUCCCUGUUAGAACAAAUAUGGAUGUGUGGAUGGGCCCAUUAAAGCCUGAAUGUAGUGAGAAUAAAGGUCACAAAGAACUCAAUUUUCACCCCCUUUUCGGAAGUUCUGUGACCAUUCUGUAACUGUUCAGAGCUGGCAGCUUUGUAGAGACAAGCAUGCUUGCUAGAACUGGUCCUCAGAGAAAGUACAUUCUUAGCGUGGCUAGGCUGUGGGUCAGUAGUGGAUAGAAGAGUCUAAAUCCAAGGGGCAGGAAGCCUCCGGCAGAAUUAUACCAGAGAGGCUGGAAUCCAGGGUCCCUUAAACUAAAGCCAGGCUGAGCUCCUCUGGUGUGUUUGCAGCUAUGUGCGGACUUGGGCAAACUGGAAAGCUGUUGAUCCUGGCUUCAUGAGGUACACAGUCUGGUGACGAACCAGAUUCUGAGUCAGUAAGUCAGGGAAGCACAAGCCUUGUGGUGUGUGGUCAUAUGUUUGUGUGUAUGUGUGUUGGAGGGUACUAGUUACGGUUUGGGUUUAGAGGGAGCCUCUUCAGGGAAGUUUUCUUCUGGCUGAUAUCAAAUGGAAACCAGAUGGAGUGGAGUCUGAAAAGCAGAUAUGUGGAGCCUGGAUCAGUAGAUGCUGAGAUCCUGUGUUGAGUCAUGGGAGAAAUAACAGCCACAGCUGCCAUCCUUAAGUCAACUCAGAGGUCACUUCCUCCUCAUCAGGGAAGACCUCUGGAUCAGCGAGGCCCCCACUUACUCACUCAGCUGGCAGAGCAACGCUGACCCCUUGGAGAUCCAGUAAUCACUGAUCCUCUUGGAGGGUAUGGGGACAGGCAUUUUUGUCUUCAGUGUGUAACCAUUCUGUGCAGCAAGUCACUCUUCGGAAGUUCUUUCCCUUCUGUGGCUGUCUACGGGGCCAUUGAGAAGGAGAUGGUGCCCUCGGAUGCCGAUGGCUCCUUCUGCACUGCUCUCUCAGAUUCCAUCAGUGUGGGAUGGACAUCAGGGAAGGCAGCCUCGGACCCAGCAGAGGGUGCCUCUACCUUUUCACCUUUCCGGUCCAUUGAGUUCCUGGCUUUCCAGUGCCACAGCAUGGCAAGCCGCUCUAGACAUCUUUCCUGUGUAUUUACUGGUUUUAUGCAGUCCAGAAAUUUGUCUCCAUGCUUCUAUGGGUGCCCGCCCAAUGCAGGCAGUCAGUGCCUGGAGUAUGUGAGAGGCCUUCCCUAGGUCUGGAGGAAGACUCAGGACACAACUAAACCCCUGCAUCCACUGACUGGGUUUAAGCAGAAUCAAUUCUCUGUUGGCCAUAAAUGAGUGUAGCUGCCUUCCAAAAUCCCCUCCCCCUCAAUCUCCCGGCGCCCUCCUAAGGGAUUUACUGUCCAGUCUGCUUGGCUCACAGUUAGACAAGAAGCACCUCCAAGGGGUAGAUGAUUGGGACAGAUGUGUGUAUGUCUCAUGUCACGUGUCCUACGCCGACAUCCUGGAGGGCUGAUGUCAGAGGUCUCGUGCUUCUGACAAACAGGAUGGCCAUGACACACGUGCUGUGUACUGGACUGUCGUUCAAGAAAGCAAAGGCUGGCUGCUUACUACAGAGGGAUGGAGCAUGACUGGAAGGUUAAGGACAGUGCUGGGCAGGCAUAGACAUGUGAAUCUCUAUGAGCUGGAGGCCCAGCUUGGACUACGUGGCAAGUUCCAAACUGCCAGGGCUACGUAGUGAGACCGGCUCAGAAUGGAUGGAUGGAUGAAUGAGAAAGAAAAGGAUGCAGAAAUAAAGGCUGUGUUCCCACAGAAGGGAUUUAAUGGGCUUUAGAACUACAGAGCCUGCUCACCAAAGCUGCUGUCUGCAGGCAGGACCAGGGCCUGCACCGCAGGGGCUUAGCUGAACUUACUCUGGGGAUGGAGUGUUCAUCACAAUGGGAACUUGCUUUUGUCCUUCCUCAUGCUGCUACAGUUAACAAGAGACUUGGACCACCUUUAAUUCAUUCAGCUUGGCUUGAAAACAGUACUAUUGUGUUGUUCUAAACCAGACUGAGAAAUUGUUAGAGUGCUCUCAGAGGUUAGCUGGGUUCACUGUUCAUGUUUGAUCACGCUUAGCUUUUCUUUUUUUGUGGAAAAAAAAUUAAAGCAUAAAUGGUCCUUCCUUAUCCAUCUCAUGAUACACACUUCGCAUGCCUUGUAGAUUAUUUUGAAGAAAUAUUACGUAAAAACUUUUGCUGCAUCUAUUUUGGUAUGUGUCUCUAAAUCCUUACUAUUAAAGGCACAAAUAUCAUAGCUAAAAUAUUACUUUCUAAGAGCUGUUCAAAUUUUUCUAGUGUGCAUACAUACAUGUAUAAACUCAUUAUACACACACACUGUAUGUACAUAUAUGCAUAUAUAUAUAUAUAUAUAUAUAUAUAUAUACACAUAUAUAUGUAUAUGUUAUAUUGGUACUUGACAGUUACUUAGAUUCAGAGUUUAAAUAAGGGCCACACUCCACAGCAAUGAUGUGUAUCCUAAAUCACCUUUAACAAUAAAUUAAAAUUGUAACUAUAAAUCUGCCUCUUUGCCACCCACUACAAUAUAUUUGUUGACACAAACAGGUUGGUUCUACUAGGAGUCCCAGAAUCUCCUAUCUUUGUGAAGGAAGGUUUAGGCUCAGGUUUAAACGCCCUCUUCUGGCCAAAAGACGCUACCACAUUUACUCACAUGUAUACUAUUACAUAAAAUAAAAUGUACACUAUUACAUAAAAAUAAAAUUUUAUAUUAAA